rnacentral:lncRNA from 1 species
GUUUGACCUAGUUUGGUUGGUUGACUUUUAAUUUGACUUAUGUUUUAUUUUAAUUAAUUCACGUACCAAUUUUCAUUAUUUUUAAAAUCGUUUUUGAGGGUGAUGAUUUCCUGACCCCACAUUAUUUAGUUUAAUUUUUCAUAAUUUUCUUGAUUAAUUUACUAUUUAUUCUUGAUUUAUUUCUAACCUAGUCUUAUUAAUUGACUUUUGGCUUGACCUAUGUUUUG